rnacentral:rRNA from 1 species
AGCUAAUAGAUACCCCGGUAGUCCACGCCCUAAACGAUGUCUACUAGUUGUUGGUGGAGUAAAAUCCAUGAGUAAACGCAGCUAAACGCGUGAAGUAGACCGCCUGGGGAGUACGGUCGCAAGAUUAAAACUCAAAGGAGUUGACGGGGGCCCGCACAAGCGGUGGAUUAUGUGGAUUAAAUUCGAUGCAACGCGAAAAACCUUACCUGGCCUUGACAUGCCACUAACGAAGCAGAGAUGCAUUAGGUGCCCGUAAGGGAAAGUGGACACAGGUGCUGCAUGGCUGUCGUCAGCUCGUGUCGUGAGAUGUUGGGUUAAGUCCCGCAACGAGCGCAACCCUUGCCAUUAAUUGCCAUCAUUUAGUUGGGCACUUUAAUGGGACUGCCGGUGACAAACCGGAGGAAGGUGGGGAUGACGUCAAGUCCUCAUGGCCCUUAUGGCCAGGGCUUCACACGUAAUACAAUGGUCGGUACAGAGAGUUGCCAACCCGCGAGGGGAGCUAAUCUCAGAAAGCCGAUCGUAGUCCGGAUUGUUCU